CAACUUUAUUUAUCUCCCUCUUUAUUAUUCUCCUGCUUCUUCGUCGUCUUCUGUAUUUUGAUAUCUCUUUCCUUUUUUCGUUGUUUUGUUUACUUCUAAUUUUACACGUUGACGAAACCCUUUGACUCGUUAUUUAUUUAUAGCAGCGAAACAGACUAGAAAUAAUUUUUAACCCACCCGCGACAACCUCGGGGGGGGGGGGGGGGGGGCGCGGGUGGAACUGUAUAUUUGAUAUUUCUUAUUAUUUUUAUUGGGAGGUAUUAAUAAACGCUCGCUAAUCGUGCAAAGCUUAAACUACGACAUUUCCAGUUUAACGUAAAAACUGAACAAACAUUUUUAUUUCGCUUCUCAUGAAAGGUCAUCGGACGAAAUAAUAGCGUAUGCAUUACAGGGUGUUUCGUUUUUAUUUUUUUUUCCUCUUCUCACCCCAAAAUCUAAAAGAAAUUCGGAGUGACUUCGAGGCUUUGCUGAUCCAAAAAUUGGAAUUCUUAGAUUUUUUUCUUCCAAAGGGGAUAUUUUUUUAUGUACAAACCCCAAUAUGUUGAAAUGAUAAAUGUCGAUUUAAAUAUUUAUAUAGGAAUUUCUAAAACUCUACGGCUACGUUGAAGUGGAUAAUAUCCGUUGGUAUACGGUAUGAGUACGAUGAAUAAGGAAUGCAGGAGCGGAAUACGGCGACUAAAACGAGUGCUUUGAGGAAAAGAUAUUCUAGCAGACGACUAGACGGAACGGGAACGAUGACAUUUGCGACUACGCGACGUCGUCGACGUCAUUUUCACGUUUAAAAGAAACGCGAAAAGUUUUGGGGAAAUGAAAAAAAAAACACUCGAAAACUUAUAAAGAUUAUUUAUUCGGCGCGAAUUCGAUCGGGGGGGUCAAACCGAACUGAAACAAAAUAAAGAAUGGGUGAAAUGAAUUGAUGAGAAAAAAAAAAAUGGACAACCGUCUAUCGUAUAAGUAGCAGCAGCGGCGUCAGUAGUUGUAACGGUAGCUACUUAAAUUUAUUUCUACCUAAAUAAAACUCAGCCCGAUGAAUUUUCGAAAGGGUUUUACCGUCUAAAUGAAUAAUGCACACGCUGGACGGAAUUCAAGGUGUAUAUCUAUACCCGUCAACUUUGGACCAAUUUAAAUCCUCUUUCCCCUCUUUUAACUCCUGCAGGACGACGAUGCUCUUCAACGUUAUCGCAUAUAUAUGUAUAUAUAUAUAUCAUCUAUCCGACCCCGUGAUACGAUUGAAAUAGGAAGACUCGCGUCGUUCGUCGCUUUUAAUCGUUUCUACCGAAGGAUCAAACAAAGUUUUAUUCUAUUUCAUUCCUUUAUUUUCACCUUCGUUAUCUCCGACACCAGAAGGAUUCCCGAGUCCCGAAACAAAAAAUUAUUAUCGCCGAGUCCGUUUCUUUUCGUUUCCGUCUGUAGGUAGGACAAACUUAAUCUCCGCAGUCCGCGCCGCUCUCGUCUGCAUUCUCUUGCAGAAAAUCAAGAAGAAACAAAAAAUUACCAAAGAGAAUAAAUUUCAAUUGCACGAGUAGAUCUUUGGAAAUAUCGAGGGUGAAAAAAAUUUAGGCAUACUGUAAAACACCCUUAGACGCGAAUUUUAUUUCGAUCGUUUUCAAAUCGGCAAUGAAUGUCCCCGAGCAAUUUACCAGACGAGGAUUCCAUGUUUUUCUUCUCCUUUCUAAUAAUUUAUUCAUCAUUCCAGUUCGGUGACGGAGACGUGACGAUACGGGAUGAGGAUUUUGUCUUUUAUUUUUUCGACUCUAACGAAGUAAAAAUUAUUCCUUCUUCAUUUUUUGAGUCGUGAGGUCGAAAGUGUGUUUGCACGAUAUAGUACGGUAUAUUUUCAUCCCUAAUUUGAGCGGCGACUUUGUACUUUGCCUGCCGCGCCCCGUACGCCCCGUACGCCCUGUGCCGCCCACGUUCUUAAGAGAAAACUAAUGACUAAUUAGAGACAGCGCUGCAGCUCACAGAGAUCCGUAGAAGAAAUAAUACGAAAAGUAGCGAGUAAAAAAAAAAUAAAAUAAAAUCAUAAAAAAAAAAAAAAAAAAAAAAAAAAAAAAAACAACAAAAUCCUAAAGUAAAAGAGGAGAAAUAAUAUCAGAAUAAAAUCGCAAAGGGAGGUUACCCCGAAGCGAGUAUGCAUGUAUGUGUAUCAUACCGCGGUGGUACUUAAUAUGAUAUUCAGAUCGCAUGUCCCGGCAUAUCGCAUGCCCCAGGGAUAUUUUAUUCAGUUUUUCGGUGUCUGGAUGAAAUUUUCUUUUUUUUCUCCUUUUAUUUUACCUUUUUCAUUUUAUUUUAGAAAAAAAAAACGAGAGAUGAUUAUGAAUAAUUUAUCAUCUUCUUGUUAUUCGGGGGCACAGAGAUAAUCGUAACGUCGAAUCGGA